ACUGCCUGACUGGCCCCGCCCACCACUGCCUGACCACACCCUGUGCUUCCCUGGCCCCGCCCCGCGCUAGCCCCGCCCCCUCUGUUUCUAGGUAACGACUUUGAUCUGAGUGACGCCCUGGACGGAGACGACCCCAACCCGUCCAGACCCCGGGACCAGCCGAAGCCGGAUCCGAAGCCGCGGCCGCCGCCCGGAGGCAAUUUCUCCAUCACCGACCUGGAGGACGCGGCCGGCGGGAAGGGCGGAGGCGGCAGCCGAGGGGGUCCUGAACCAGAGCCGGAAGCCGGAGGGUCCCCCCAGGGCCUGGUUCCCGGCAUCGUGGGCGCCGUGGUCGCCGCCCUGGCCGGCGCGGUGUCGAGCUUCGUGGCCUAUCAGAAGCGGCGGCUGUGCUUCCGGGAGAGCGGCCCCGCCCCCGUGUAGCCGGUUCCGCCCAGUGACGACUCCCGUGAUGCUCGGCAGAGAGGAAGAACCCGAGGCCACGCCCUCAUGCGCGUGACGUCAGCGCUCUGACAUCUCCGGGCUCCGCCCACAAUCCCCGGGCCAGGGCCUCAGGCCCUCAUUUGCAUAUGCAAAUCGCCAAAGCCUUAACCCUGCCGCUCAUUUGCAUAAGGAGCGCUCUGAGGGGCGGGGCCUGUGGUGCCAAUCAGAGCCGGGGGCUCAUCCGCAUGGCCACGCCCCCCGCGCAGCCGGCGCCGGCUCAUUUACAUAUCAGGAAAUGAAAAAGUCCUGGUGCUUUCGGGGGCGGAGCCUCGGUUCCGGCCCCGCCCAGCUCAUUUGCCUGUGGGGAAUCCCCGCCAGCUCAUUUGCAUAUCUGAAACUCAGCCCCGCCCCCGCGCUGCUUCCAGUGCCUCAUUAGCAUAUCUGCACUGACGUCGGGGGCAGGGCCUGCGGCUUCUUCCCAUCACUAGGGACCCCGCCCCUCAUUUGCUUCCUGCUGCUGCCUUAACGUAAGGGGCGGGGCCGUGACGUCAGGAGCGUGGCGGCCCCUGCGGGAGACCCCGGUGCCAAUAAAAUAAAAACCCGGAAUAAACGGGUUGAACGC
rnacentral:lncRNA from 1 species